rnacentral:tRNA from 1 species
GCCCGGGUGGCGAAACUGGUAGACGCAAGGGACUUAAAAUCCCUCAGAGCUUGUCUCUAUGUCGGUUCAAGUCCGACCCUGGGCACCA